CAAAAUGGCAGAUGAAAUUCAGUGUUGAGAAAUGCAAAGUAAUGUACAUUGGAAAACAUAAUCCCAGCUAGACAUACAAAAUGAUUGGGUCUAAAGUAGCUAUUCCCACUCUAGAGAUAGAUA